GACGAACCGUACGAACGUUAUUCGGAAUCACUGGGCUCAAAGGGUGCGUAGGCUGCGCAGCAAGUUGGGUGUGAAAGCCCUCGGCUCAACCGAGGAAUUGCGCUCUAAACUGCAGUGCUCGAGGAAGCUAGAGGUGAGCAGAACAGAUGGUGGAGCGGUGAAAUGCGUUGAUAUCAUCUGGAAUACCGGAGGCGAAGGCGGCUCACUGGGGGUCUUCUGACGCUGAGGAACGAAAGCCAGGGGAGCGAACGGG
rnacentral:rRNA from 1 species